AACACGUGGGUAACCUGCCUGUAAGACUGGGAUAACUCCGGGAAACCGGAGCUAAUACCGGAUAGUUCCUUGAACCGCAUGGUUCAAGGAUGAAAGACGGUUUCGGCUGUCACUUACAGAUGGACCCGCGGCGCAUUAGCUAGUUGGUGGGGUAAUGGCUCACCAAGGCGACGAUGCGUAGCCGACCUGAGAGGGUGAUCGGCCACCACUGGGACUGAGACACGGCCCAGACUCCUACGGGAGGCAGCAGUAGGGAAUCUUCCGCAAUGGACGAAAGUCUGACGGAGCAACGCCGCGUGAGUGAUGAAGGUUUUCGGAUCGUAAAGCCUCUGUUGUUAGGGAAGAACAAGUGCGAGAGUAACUGCUCGCACCUUGACGGUACCUAACCAGAAAGCCACGGCUAACUACGUGCCAGCAGCCGCGGUAAUACGUAGGUGGCAAGCGUUGUUCCGGAAUUAUUGGGCGUAAAGGGCUCGCAGGCGGUUUCUUAAGUCUGAUGUGAAAGCCCCCGGCUCAACCGGGGAGGGUCAUUGGAAACUGGGAAACUUGAGUGCAGAAGAGGAGAGUGGGAAUUCCACGUGUAGCGGUGAAAUGCGUAGAGAUGUGGAGGAACACCAGUGGCGAAGGCGACUCUCUGGUCUGUAACUGACGCUGAGGAGCGAAAGCGUGGGGGAGCGAACAGGAUUAGAAUACCCCUGGUAGUCCACGCCGUAAACGAUGAGUGCUAAGUGUUAAGGGGGUUUCCGCCCCUUAGUG
rnacentral:rRNA from 1 species